rnacentral:rRNA from 1 species
GCCUAUCUCAGUUCGGAUUGGAGGCUGAAACCCGCCUCCAUGAAGUUGGAUUCGCUAGUAAUCGCGCAUCAGCCAUGGCGCGGUGAAUACGUUCCCGGGCCUUGUACACACCGCCCGUCAAGCCAUGGGAGCCGGGGGUGCCUGAAGUUCGUUACCGUAAGGAUCGACCUAGGGCAAAACUGGUGACUGGGGCUAAGUCGUAACAAGGUAGC